CCUACGGGUGGCAGCAGUGAGGAAUAUUGGUCAAUGGGCGGAAGCCUGAACCAGCCAAGUAGCGUGCAGGAUGACGGCCCUACGGGUUGUAAACUGCUUUUACACGGGAAUAACGCGCCUUACGUGUACGGCUUUGCAUGUACCGUAAGAAUAAGCACCGGCUAAUUCCGUGCCAGCAGCCGCGGUAAUACGGAAGGUCCGAGCGUUAUCCGGAUUUAUUGGGUUUAAAGGGUGCGUAGGCGGCUUGUCAAGGUAGCGGUAAAAUCGCGGAGCUCAACUCGGCCCAGCAGUUGAAACUGGUGUGCUUGAGUGGGCGAGAAGCAGGCGGAAUGCGUCGUGUAGCGGUGAAAUGCAUAGAUAUGACGAAGAACCCCGAUUGCGAAGGCAGCUUGCUGCAGCGGGACUGACGCUGAUGCACGAAAGCGCGGGUAUCGAACAGGAUUAGAUACCCCAGUAGUC
rnacentral:rRNA from 1 species